UACGUAGGGAGCAAGCGUUGUCCGGAAUCAUUGGGCGUAAAGCGCGCGUAGGCGGCCUCAUAAGUCCGUUGUGAAAGUCAAAGGCUCAACCUUUGAAAGCCGAUGGAUACUGUGAGGCUAGAGUCCGGAAGAGGCGAGUGGAACUCCUGGUGUAGCGGUGGAAUGCGCAGAUAUCAGGAAGAACACCGACGGCGAAGGCAGCUCGCUGGGACGGUACUGACGCUGAGGCGCGAAAGCGUGGGGAGCGAACAGG
rnacentral:rRNA from 1 species